rnacentral:lncRNA from 1 species
AAUAUUUGGGUUGUGAACACCUUCGAAUACAAAUAAAUUUGAUGUUGUUACACCAAAUUUAGUGACGGAAAGCCAGUGGUCACUUUCAAAUAGUCAGUUUCCACCUGACUUUCCUGAUGCACAAGUAAGGGAGCUUGAGGCAGCAAAAGCUAGUGAAGUAAAACAUAAAUCACCUAUAAAAAGAGACAGAAAAAAGUCAAAGAUUUUUAGGUCAACAUACAUCACAAAAUUUGGAUCGAGCUCUAAAGAUGAGGACAGUUCUGAUAAUGAAGAGAAGCAGAGGUAUGCUUUUGAUGGUUAUACCAUUUAUGAAGACUUGCCUAAUCAAUUGAUCAGCGAUUAU